rnacentral:hammerhead_ribozyme from 1 species
AUGCAGCUGACGAGUUCCAAAUAAGACGAAACACGCGUCCUGGAU